rnacentral:rRNA from 1 species
AUUGAACGCUGGCGGCAUGCCUUACACAUGCAAGUCGAACGGCAGCACGGGGGCAACCCUGGUGGCGAGUGGCGAACGGGUGAGUAACAUAUCGGAACAUACCCUAGAGUGGGGGAUAACGUAGCGAAAGUUACGCUAAUACCGCAUACGAUCUAAGGAUGAAAGUGGGGGAUCUUCGGACCUCAUGCUCAUGGAGUGGCCGAUAUCUGAUUAGCUAGUUGGUGAGGUAAAGGCUCACCAAGGCGACGAUCAGUAGCUGGUUUGAGAGAACGACCAGCCACACUGGAACUGAGACACGGUCCAGACUCCUACGGGAGGCAGCAGUGGGGAAUUUUGGACAAUGGGGGCAACCCUGAUCUAGCAAUGCCGCGUGAGUGAAGAA